GGAGCCGUAGCGAAAGCGAGUCUGAAGAGGGCGAGCAGUUGGCUGACGCAGACCCGAAACCAAGUGACCUACCCAUGACCAGGUUGAAGGCGCGGUAAAACGCGCUGGAGGACCGAACCCACGUAAGUUGAAAAUUGCGGGGAUGAGUUGUGGGUAGCGGUGAAAUUCCAAACGAACUUGGAGAUAGCUGGUUCUCUCCGAAAUAGCUUUAGGGCUAGCCUCGCAAAGAGGAUGCUGGAGGUAGAGCUCUGUUUGGACUAGGGGCCCGUCAAGGGUUACUGAAUUCAGAUAAACUGCGAAUUCCAGACAUUUAUGUGCGGGAGUCAGACUGCGAGUGAUAAGAUCCGUAGUCGAAAGGGAAACAGCCCAGAUCACCAGUUAAGGUCCCAAAAUUCAUGCUAAGUGGAAAAGGAUGUGGAGUUGCGCAGACAACUAGGACGUUGGCUCAGAAGCAGCCAUCAUUCAAAGAGUGCGUAAUAGCUCACUAGUCGAGUGACGCCGCGCCGAAAAUUUACCGGGGCUAAGCAUGAUACCGAAACUGUGGAUGUGCGUUUAUGCACGUGGUAGGAGAGCGUUCUAGCGGCGGUGAAGCAUGACCGAGAGGACAUGUGGAGCUUCUAGAAGUGAGAAUGCCGGUAUGAGUAACGAAAGACAGGUGAGAAUCCUGUCCGCCGCAAGACUAAGGUUUCCUGGGGCAGGCUCGUCCGCCCAGGGUAAGUCGGGACCUAAGGCGAGGCCGAGAGGCGUAGUCGAUGGACAACAGGUUGAAAUUCCUGUACUGCACCGAAUCGUUAUGAGCGAUGGAGGGACGCAGGAGGCUAGCAGCGCGUGGUGCUGGAUACCACGUUCAAGCGUCAAGUCUGAGAGCGAGUCAAAUGCUUGCUCUCAUAAGGACAAGGCGUGAUGAGGAGCGAAAUUAAAGUAGCGAAGGCUGCGACGUCACACUGCCGAGAAAAGCUUCUAGCCAGAGACGGUGCACCCGUACCGCAAACCGACACAGGUAGUCGAGGAGAGUAUCCUCAGGUGAGCGAGAGAACUCUCGUUAAGGAACUCGGCAAAAUGGCCCCGUAACUUCGGGAGAAGGGGCGCUGGUCGCAAGAUCAGCCGCAGUGAAAAGGCCCAAGCAACUGUUUAUCAAAAACACAGGCAUCUGCAAAAUCGUAAGAUGAAGUAUAGGUGCUGACACCUGCCCGGUGCUGGAAGGUUAAGAGGAGAGCUUAGCGCAAGCGAAGGUUUGAAUUGAAGCCCCAGUAAACGGCGGCCGUAACUAUAACGGUCCUAAGGUAGCGAAAUUCCUUGUCGGGUAAGUUCCGACCUGCACGAAAGGUGUAAUGAUUUGGGCACUGUCUCAACGAGAGACUCGGUGAAAUUAUAAUACCCGUGAAGAUGCGGGUUACCCGCGACAGGACGGAAAGACCCCAUGGAGCUUUACUGCAGUUUAAUAUUGGGUAUCUGUCAAGCAUGUACAGGAUAGGUAGGAGCCGGAGAAGAUAGGACGCCAGUCUUAUCAGAGGCGCUGUUGGGAUACUACCCUUGCUUGACGGAUGCUCUAACUCAGGCCUGUGAUCCAGGCCGAGGACAGUGUUUGACGGGCAGUUUGACUGGGGCGGUCGCCUCCUAAAGUGUAACGGAGGCGCCCAAAGGUUCCCUCAGAAUGGUUGGAAAUCAUUCGCAGAGUGUAAAGGUAAAAGGGAGCUUGACUGCGAGAGAGACAACUCGAGCAGGUACGAAAGUAGGGCUUAGUGAUCUGGUGGUACCGUAUGGAAGGGCCAUCACUCAACGGAUAAAAGCUACCCUGGGGAUAACAGGCUUAUCUCCCCCAAGAGUUCACAUCGACGGGGAGGUUUGGCACCUCGAUGUCGGCUCGUCGCAUCCUGGGGCUGAAGUCGGUCCCAAGGGUUGGGCUGUUCGCCCAUUAAAGCGGCACGCGAGCUGGGUUCAGAACGUCGUGAGACAGUUCGGUCCCUAUCCGUCGUGGGCGCAGGAAAUUUGAGAGGAGCUGUCCUUAGUACGAGAGGACCGGGAUGGACGCACCGCUGGUGUACCAGUUGUCUUGCCAAAGGCAUCGCUGGGUAGCUAUGUGCGGACGGGAUAAGCGCUGAAAGCAUCUAAGUGCGAAGCCCCCCUCAAGAUGAGAUUUCCCAUUUCUUCAAGAAAGUAAGACACCUCAGAGACGAUGAGGUAGAUAGGCCGGGAGUGGAAGAGCCGUGAGGCUUGGAGCGGACCGGUACUAAUCAGUCGAGGACUUGACCAAAA
rnacentral:rRNA from 1 species